rnacentral:rRNA from 1 species
GUAGGGUCCAAGCGUUAUCCGGAAUUACUGGGGGGCGUAAAGUGUUCGUAGGGCGGGUUUAUUAAGUAUGUCGUCAAAUCCCGAGGCUCAACUUCGGAACGGCGGCGUAAACUAAUAAACUAGAGGAUGUUAGGGAGUGCUGGAAUUCAUAGUGUAGGGGUGAAAUCCGUUGACAUUAUGAAGAACACCAAGGGCGAAGGCAGGCACUUGGGACAUUCCUGACGCUGAGGAACGAAAGCUAGGGGAGCGAAAGGGAUUAGAGACCCCUGUAGUCCUAGCCGUAAACGAUCCUUACUAGAUGGCCGAGUCUGACUCGGCUGUCGCAAGCUAACGCGUUAAGUAAGGCGCCUGGGGAGUACGACCGCAAAGGUUA